UACAGAGGGUGCAAGCGUUGUUCGGAAUUAUUGGGCGUAAAGGGCGCGUAGGCGGUGCGGUAAGUCUGUAGUGAAAUCUCUGGGCUCAACUCAGAGUCUGCUGCAGAAACUGCCGUGCUUGAGUGUGGGAGAGGUGAGUGGAAUUCCUGGUGUAGCGGUGAAAUGCGCAGAUAUCGGGAGGAACACCAGUAGCGGAAGGCGGACACUCUGGGCCGGUACUGGACGCUGAGGAGCGAAAGCGAUGGGGAGCAAACAGGG
rnacentral:rRNA from 1 species